UAACAAGGAUUCCCCUAGUAACUGCGAGUGAAGCGGGAAGAGCUCAAAUUUAAAAUCUGGCGGUCUUCUGGCCGUCCGAGUUGUAACCUGGAGAAGUGUUUUCCGCGUCGGACCGUGUACAAGUCUCCUGGAACGGAGCGUCAUAGAGGGUGAGAAUCCCGUCCAUGACACGGACCACCGAUGCUUUGUGAUACGCUCUCGAAGAGUCGAGUUGUUUGGGAAUGCAGCUCAAAAUGGGUGGUAAAUUCCAUCUAAAGCUAAAUAUUGGCGAGAGACCGAUAGCGAACAAGUACCGUGAGGGAAAGAUGAAAAGCACUUUGGAAAGAGAGUUAAACAGUACGUGAAAUUGUUGAAAGGGAAACGCUUGAAGUCAGUCGCGUCUCACGGAACUCAGCCUUGCUUCGGCUUGGUGUACUUUCUGUGUGGACGGGUCAACGUCAAUUUUGGUCGGCGGAGAAAGGUUGAGGGAAUGUGGCGCCGUUUCGGCGACGUGUUAUAGCCYUCUUCCGCAUACGUCGGCUGGGAUUGAGGACCGCAGCGCGCCUUUAAUGGCCGGGGGUUCGCCCUACGUACCGCGCUUAGGAUGUUGGCAUAAUGGCUUUAAGCGACCCGUCUUGAAACACGGACCAAGGAGUCUAACAUGCUUGCGAGUGUUCGGGUGGAAAACCCUUGCGCGUAAUGAAAGUGAAAGUUGGGAGCCUCCGUAAGGGGGUGCACCGACGCCCGGCCCUGAAGUUCUCUGACGGUGCUGCGGUAGAGCACGUAUGUUGGGACCCGAAAGAUGGUGAACUAUGCCUGAAUAGGGCGAAGCCAGAGGAAACUCUGGUGGAGGCUCGUAGCGAUUCUGACGUGCAAAUCGAUCGUCAAAUUUGGG
rnacentral:rRNA from 1 species